UACGAAGGGGGCUAGCGUUGCUCGGAAUCACUGGGCGUAAAGGGUGCGUAGGCGGGUCUUUAAGUCAGGGGUGAAAUCCUGGAGCUCAACUCCAGAACUGCCUUUGAUACUGAGGAUCUUGAGUUCGGGAGAGGUGAGUGGAACUGCGAGUGUAGAGGUGAAAUUCGUAGAUAUUCGCAAGAACACCAGUGGCGAAGGCGGCUCACUGGCCCGAUACUGACGCUGAGGUGCGAAAGCGUGGGGAGCAAACAGG
rnacentral:rRNA from 1 species